rnacentral:rRNA from 1 species
GAAGUGCGGUGCUAUAAUGCAGUAGAACGCUGAAGAGAGGAGCUUGCUCUUCUUGGAUGAGUUGCGAACGGGUGAGUAACGCGUAGGUAACCUGCCUUGUAGCGGGGGAUAACUAUUGGAAACGAUAGCUAAUACCGCAUAACAAUGGAUGACACAUGUCAUUUAUUUGAAAGGGGCAAUUGCUCCACUACAAGAUGGACCUGCGUUGUAUUAGCUAGUAGGUGAGGUAAUGGCUCACCUAGGCGACGAUACAUAGCCGACCUGAGAGGGUGAUCGGCCACACUGGGACUGAGACACGGCCCAGACUCCUACGGGAGGCAGCAGUAGGGAAUCUUCGGCAAUGGGGGCAACCCUGACCGAGCAACGCCGCGUGAGUGAAGAAGGUUUUCGGAUCGUAAAGCUCUGUUGUAAGUCAAGAACGGGUGUGAGAGUGGAAAGUUCACACUGUGACGGUAGCUUACCAGAAAGGGACGGCUAACUACGUGCCAGCAGCCGCGGUAAUACGUAGGUCCCGAGCGUUGUCCGGAUUUAUUGGGCGUAAAGCGAGCGCAGGCGGUUUGAUAAGUCUGAAGUUAAAGGCUGUGGCUCAACCAUAGUUCGCUUUGGAAACUGUCAAACUUGAGUGCAGAAGGGGAGAGUGGAAUUCCAUGUGUAGCGGUGAAAUGCGUAGAUAUAUGGAGGAACACCGGUGGCGAAAGCGGCUCUCUGGUCUGUAACUGACGCUGAGGCUCGAAAGCGUGGGGAGCGAACAGGAUUAGAUACCCUGGUAGUCCACGCCGUAAACGAUGAGUGCUAGGUGUUGGAUCCUUUCCGGGAUUCAGUGCCGCAGCUAACGCAUUAAGCACUCCGCCUGGGGAGUACGACCGCAAGGUUGAAACUCAAAGGAAUUGACGGGGGCCCGCACAAGCGGUGGAGCAUGUGGUUUAAUUCGAAGCAACGCGAAGAACCUUACCAGGUCUUGACAUCCCGAUGCUAUUUCUAGAGAUAGAAAGUUACUUCGGUACAUCGGUGACAGGUGGUGCAUGGUUGUCGUCAGCUCGUGUCGUGAGAUGUUGGGUUAAGUCCCGCAACGAGCGCAACCCCUAUUGUUAGUUGCCAUCAUUCAGUUGGGCACUCUAGCGAGACUGCCGGUAAUAAACCGGAGGAAGGUGGGGAUGACGUCAAAUCAUCAUGCCCCUUAUGACCUGGGCUACACACGUGCUACAAUGGUUGGUACAACGAGUUGCGAGUCGGUGACGGCGAGCUAAUCUCUUAAAGCCAAUCUCAGUUCGGAUUGUAGGCUGCAACUCGCCUACAUGAAGUCGGAAUCGCUAGUAAUCGCGGAUCAGCACGCCGCGGUGAAUACGUUCCCGGGCCUUGUACACACCGCCCGUCACACCACGAGAGUUUGUAACACCCGAAGUCGGUGAGGUAACCUU